GCGCCCAUAGCUCAGCUGGAUAGAGCAUCGGAUUUCUAAUCCGCAGGUCGCAGGUUCGAAUCCUGCUGGGCGUGCCA
rnacentral:tRNA from 1 species